rnacentral:lncRNA from 1 species
CAGGGAUGAGCGGGUCAGGACAGGGCCAGGGGGCAUCCCUGCUCACUAGGCUGUGAUUGGCACUUCCUGAACAACAGCCCUUACCUCAUUGCAACCCACAGUUUUCAGCUCUGCAAAGGAGGCCAGCAGAAUUGUAGGGCAAGCAGACAGCCUACAGCCACUUGGUAAGGAAGCACUGGUCUGCUUCAAGGUCUGCUACAGCGACAGGCAGGGCACUCAGUGACAUGGGAAGGGAAGGGUGUGCCUGACUUUGUGUCCCUUCUGCUGAGAAGCCUGGGCUGAGCAGAGCAGUAGUGGUAAAUGACCAGUGGGUGUGACAAGAACAGUCCCCGCAGCUCUGUGGAGAGUGACUCACAGCCACGAAGAGGGGACAAGGAGACACAGCCUUGGCUCCCAGGGUGUUUGCCGCCUGUGAGGCUGUGGACGUGAAUUAUGGGCGGCGAUUCGAGGCUGCUGCUUUGUGACAGGGCCGGCUCUACUUACUGUGUGAUGGUGAGCCAACCACUGGACCUCUCUGAUUCUUUCCUCAUCUGUGAGAUUGGGGAAAUGGGUCCGGCUCCUUGGAAAGGCUCUCCGUGAGGACAGUGUGUCAGACAGUGGCAGGACACAGAGACUGAAGACUUGUCAGCACUCCUGAUGAUCCCUCCAGCUUAACACCCAGAGGACCAGAACCAAGACCCCAGAACAGAAGAGGAAAGCAAAGGGCAAACCCCUAGGGUGUGCCCAGAGGGACCACAAAGGCAGCUGCUGUCAAUCUCUCCCAUGCUCCAGCCGGAGGAUACUGUUCACAUCACAGAUGAGGACCACCACGUCUUUUGGGUUAGUCUAUUAUAUUUUUAAAAACUUACUGGGUAAAUACUUUGGAGGAUAAAUUACUAUUUUGUAAACAGUUUAAUUUGGGAGCCAGUGAGAUGGUUCGGUGUGUAAAGGCAUUUGCUGUGCAAGGCUGGUGAUUUAACAUAGAUCCUUGGGACCCACAUAAAGGUAGAUGAGAGAGCCAACCCCAUCAGAUUGUCCUCAGACCUCCACACAUGCACCAUGGUUCA